rnacentral:rRNA from 1 species
UGGCUGUCGUCAGCUCGUGUCGUGAAAUGUUGGGUUAAGUCCCGCAACGAGCGCAACCCUUGCCCUUAGUUGCCAGCACAUCAUGGUGGGAACUCUAAGGGGACUGCCGGUGACAAACCGGAGGAAGGUGGGGACGACGUCAAGUCAUCAUGGCCCUUACGUCCCGGGCUACACACGUGCUACAAUGGCGCGUACAAUGGGCUGCGAACCCGCAAGGGGGAGCCAAUCCCAAAAAGCACGCCCCAGUUCGGAUUGCAGUCUGCAACUCGACUGCAUGAAGUCGGAAUCGCUAGUAAUCGCGGAUCAGCAUGCCGCGGUGAAUCCGUUCCCGGGCCUUGUACACACCGCCCGU